UCCCUGGUGGCUCAGACAGUAAAGAAUCUGCCUGCAAUGCAGGAGACCCAGGUUCAAUCCCUGGGUCGGGAA
rfam:Ovis aries breed Texel chromosome 2, whole genome shotgun sequence.